GAUCAAGCGAAUAAGUGCAUGUGGUGGAUGCCUUGGCGAUUACAGGCGAAGAAGGACGUACAAGCCUGCGAAAAGCUCUGGGGAGCUGGCAAUGAAGCUUUGAUCCAGAGAUGUCCGAAUGGGGAAACCCACUCCGCAAGGAGUAUCCCACGCUAAAUACAUAGGCGUGAGGAAGCGAACCCGGCGAACUGAAACAUCUAAGUAGCCGGAGGAAAAGAAAUCAACCGAGAUUCCCAAAGUAGUGGCGAGCGAAAUGGGAUCAGCCUGCAAGUGAUAGCGAUUGCGUUAGCGGAAGCCUCUGGAAAGUGGUGCCGUAGUGGGUGACAGCCCCGUACGCGAAAACCCGAUCGUGGUACCAAGCUUGCGACAAGUAGGGCGGGGCACGAGAAAUCCUGUCUGAACAUGGGGGGCCCAUCCUCCAAGGCUAAAUACUCGUAAUCGACCGAUAGUGAACCAGUACCGUGAGGGAAAGGCGAAAAGAACCCCGGGAGGGGAGUGAAAUAGAUCCUGAAACCGCAUGCAUACAAACAGUGGGAGCCCCUUCGUGGGGUGACUGCGUACCUUUUGUAUAAUGGGUCAGCGACUUACGUUCGGUAGCGAGCUUAACCGAAUAGGGGAGGCGUAGGGAAACCGAGUCUGAUAAGGGCGCCUAGUUGCUGGACGUAGACCCGAAACCAAGUGAUCUAUCCAUGGCCAGGAUGAAGGUGCGGUAACACGCACUGGAGGUCCGAACCCACUAAUGUUGAAAAAUUAGGGGAUGAGCUGUGGAUAGGGGUGAAAGGCUAAACAAACUUGGAAAUAGCUGGUUCUCUCCGAAAACUAUUUAGGUAGUGCCUCAAGUAUCACCAACGGGGGUAAAGCACUGUUAUGGCUAGGGGGUCAUCGCGACUUACCAAACCAUUGCAAACUCAGAAUACCGUUGAGUGCGAGCUUGGGAGACAGACAUCGGGUGCUAACGUCCGGUGUCGAAAGGGAAACAACCCAGACCGCCGAUUAAGGUCCCCAAGCCAUAGUUAAGUGGGAAACGAGGUGGGAAGGCUUAGACAGCCAGGAGGUUGGCUUAGAAGCAGCCAUCCUUUAAAGAAAGCGUAAUAGCUCACUGGUCGAGUCGUCCUGCGCGGAAGAUGUAACGGGGCUCAAACUAUGCACCGAAAUCGCGGAUAUCCGUAAGGAUAUGGUAGGAGAGCGUUCUGUAAGCCGAUGAAGGUGUCUUGAGAAGGAUGCUGGAGGUAUCAGAAGUGCGAAUGCUGACAUGAGUAGCGAUAAAGGGAGUGAAAAGCUCCCUCGCCGAAAGCCCAAGGUUUCCUGCGCAACGUUCAUCGGCGCAGGGUGAGUCGGCCCCUAAGGCGAGGCUGAAAAGCGUAGUCGAUGGGAAACAGGUCAAUUUUCCUGUACCUCUUUGUAAUGCGAUGGGGGGACGGAGAAGGUUAGGUCAGCCGGGUGUUGGACGUCCCGGUUCAAGCGUGUAGGCAGACCUCUUAGGCAAAUCCGGGGGGUCAAUGCUGAGGCGUGAUAACGAGUGGUCUUGUACCGCGAAGUGAUUGAUACCAUGCUUCCAAGAAAAGCCUCUAAGCUUCAGUUACAAGGAGACCGUACCGC
rnacentral:rRNA from 1 species